rnacentral:rRNA from 1 species
GAUGAACGCUGGCGGCGUGCCUAAUACAUGCAAGUCGAGCGAACAGACGAGGAGCUUGCUCCUCUGACGUUAGCGGCGGACGGGUGAGUAACACGUGGAUAACCUACCUAUAAGACUGGGAUAACUUCGGGAAACCGGAGCUAAUACCGGAUAAUAUAUUGAACCGCAUGGUUCAAUAGUGAAAGACGGUUUUGCUGUCACUUAUAGAUGGAUCCGCGCCGCAUUAGCUAGUUGGUAAGGUAACGGGUUACCAAGGCAACGAUGCGUAGCCGACCUGAGAGGGUGAUCGGCCACACUGGAACUGAGACACGGUCCAGACUCCUACGGGAGGCAGCAGUAGGGAAUCUUCCGCAAUGGGCGAAAGCCUGACGUAGCAACGCCGCGUGAGUGAUGAAGGUCUUCGGAUCGUAAAACUCUGUUAUUAGGGAAGAACAAAUGUGUAAGUAACUAUGCACGUCUUGACGGUACCUAAUCAGAAAGCCACGGCUAACUACGUG